rnacentral:rRNA from 1 species
CGGCGGACGGGUGAGUAACACGUGGGUAACCUACCUAUAAGACUGGGGCAACUUCGGGAAACCGGAGCUAAUACCGGAUAAGAUAUCGAACCGCAUGGUUCGAUAGUGAAAGAUGGUUUUGCUAUCACUUAUAGAUGGACCCGCGCCGUAUUAGCUAGUUGGUGAGGUAACGGCUCGCCAAGGCAACGAUACGUAGCCGACCUGAGAGGGUGAUCGGCCACACUGGAACUGAGACACGGUCCAGACUCCUACGGGAGGCAGCAGGGG